rnacentral:pre_miRNA from 1 species
AAUAAGUGCAGCCGUGGAUAUCCGUGCCAAACAUUUGACCGUCCGUCUUAUUUGAAAAAUUUGAAAAUAUUUAGUCACACAUAAAGUACUAUUUAUGUUUUAUCAUCUAAUAGCAAUAAAAAUACUAAUCAUAAAAAAAAUUUCAAAUAAGACGAACGGUCAAACGUUGAACGUGAAUAGUGCAAAACUGCAUUUAUU